CUAUCAGGUGCUACAGGAUUCUUUGCUGCUUUUACAGAUCCAGACUAACACGGCUACCCCUCUGAUACCAUUUCCUGUUUGGUUGGUGUGGGGAGCUCAUUUAGCAACUGCCCAACUAACCAUACUGGCUCCACACAGCAAACACGCUCCUGCCUGGAGUACACAGAAGGUAGUGGAUCUCCUGGGUCUGUGGGGAUAAGAGGCUCUUAAGGCUCUGAAUCAGCCAUAGAAACGUCAACAUAUAUGAGCCGAUCCCUUGGAGCAUGGGGGAGAAGGACUACAACAGGGACAUGCAGCAGCGCCAUGUGAAAAUCAAGGAGCUGUGGCAGGCAUACCAGAAGGCAAAGGAGGCAAAUAGUUGCUCUGGUGCAGAGCCAGAGGCAUGCUGCUUGUACAAGGAGCUGCAUACUGUCCUUGGAAGAGACUCCACCACCACCACCAAAAGACCUGUGGAUACUUUGGGGAAGUUGGAGUCACAGGCCCCCACAGUGAGGAGGAAGUGUUGAACAAGGAAGAGGAGGAGGAGUGUGGGGGACAGACAACCAGGGGAUCUAAUGGCACAGCAAGCCAGGACAUCUUUCUGAUGCUGGAGCAGUUGAGCCACUCCCAGCAGUCCAGCACCAACAAGUCUGAUGCAGAGGAAGGGAUCUCUGGUUAGUAUGCAGGUUGCUUUAAUAUUGCAGGGACACAUCUGUUUGUCUACUAUUUUUUAAUCAUGCUAGAAGAGAUAGUGAAAUAACCAAUGAAGGUACAGUUGCUAUCUGCUUCUUAUUGCUCUGUGCAGCUAGGCAGAAGGGGUCCUGUGGAAUAGUUUGUUUACAUGUACCAGGAUGUCCUGUGAAUUCUCCAUAGAUAUUUCAAGGAAACUUUCCUGGAGACAGUGUGCCUCCUCUGCCAAAGGUUUCUGGGGAAGGCUGCCUUAUUCUUCCCACCGUGGUAGGACACUUUCCUAUGCCAGUCAGCAAUUACUUCAGCAGACAUCAUUACAGAACACAGGUUAACAGCAUACAGAUCUGGUCUGCAGCCAGGUGUAUACAGGAGCUGUUUCCUUUUGGGCUCCAUUACCCUCAGGAGAGAGAGAGAUCAGCUAAAAUCACCACAGCAUAUGGAAAAUGCUGCCAGUAUUCAAUUAAAGUGCCCUAUCCUCAAAUACUGAUGCCAAUGUGCUCCCCCUCAUUGUCCCAGAUAGCCUCUUUUCCCCAGGGCCGUACUCACCAUGGCUGGGACUGCCUCUGUGCUCUAUGAAUCCUGAGGGAAAGUGAGAAUGUAAUGCUUGUAACUUGUGUGGAUCAAGGGGAGUGAAAACACUCAUCAUAGUACCUCUGUGCAUUGUGUCAUGUGCAGUUAGAAAUGUGGCCUUGAGGAUCCUUCCAUCCAGGCCAGAAGAGCAGCUCAGCCACAUAAGGAGAAGCAAGAGAAUAUGGGAGAUCAUGUUCCAAGAGAUUCCGCAGAGCUGUGGUGCUGCGGAUAAGUGCACUCUUAUCACAGAGCAGCUUGGAGGUGCACUCUUUCAGCAGAGUGGAAAGGGAUGCAAGUGUUCAGGGCCAUUAAUUGUGUCCUGCCACAAAGGACUGUGACUCCUGGCAACCUGCAGGACAUUCUGAAUGGUUUUACAGCAAUGGGGUUCCUGUACUGCAGUGGGGUGAUAGAUGGCAUUCAUAUCCCUCUUUUGGCACCAGACCACCUUGCCAUGGAGUACCUCAACAGAACUGAAAGGGCUACUUUUUUACGGUAUUGCAAGCACUGGUGGAUCACCAGGGAUGUUUUACCAACAUCAACGUGGGCUGGUCACGGAAGAUGCAUGAUGCAUGCAUCUUUAAAACCACAGGCCUGUUCAGAAAGAUGCAAGCAGGGACUUUCUUUCCAAAUGAGCGAAUUACCAUUAGGAAUGUUGAAAUGCCAAUAGUGAUCCUGUGAGAUCCAACUUAUCCCAUACUCCCCUGGCUUAUGAAGCUGUACACCAGCCACUUCAAGAGCAGCAAGGAGCGCUUCAAAUAGAGGCUCAGCAGGUGCAGAAUGACUGUUGAACGUGCCUUUGGCUGUCUGAAAGGACACUGGUGCUGUCUAUUCACACGAUAGACUUUAGUGAAAAAAAUCUGUUAUUAUAGCUGCCUGCUGUGUACUUCAUAAUAUCUGUGAAGCAAAGGGGCAAAGUUUCUGCAGGGGUGGAAUGUGGUGGCAAAAUGCCUGGCUGCUGAUUUUGAGCAGCCAGAUACCAGGGCAAUAAGAGCAGCUCAACAGGGAGAUAUACAGCUCAAGGAGGCUUUGAAAGACCAUUUCAAUAGUGAGCCACAGCAAUGUGUGUUGUUGUUGUUGUGUGCUCUGCUUGGCAUUGUUUUUUAGUACCUCAGUAUGAACCAUGUAAUGAGUGUUGUGUGUAAGGUAAUAUAACAUUGCAAGUGAGAAAUUGCAAGGGGGAAAGUGGGGGAUAUAAUAUACUUGGACUUUAGCAAGGCUUUUGACACAGUCCCACAUGACAAGGUGGAGAAAUGUGGGCUUGGCGGAACUACCAUUAAGUGGAUACAUAAUUGAUUAAACAACCGCAAACAAAGAGUAGCUAUUAAUGGAAUGAUGUCAGAUUGGAAGGUGGUCUCAAGUGGGUUUGCACAGAAAUCUGUCCUGGGUCCAAUGUGAUUUAGCAUCUUCAUUAAUAACCUGAAUGUAGUAAUAGUGAGCAUGCAGAUGACACAAAGCUGGGGGUGAGGAUUGCAAACACUGUGAAGGAGAGAGCUAAAAUUCAAAGGAAUCUUGAUAAAUUGGAGAGCUACAAAAUGAAAUCCCACAAAGACAAAUGUAAGUUGCUUCACUUGGGGAAGAAAAACCAAAUGUACAAAUACAGAAUGGAGGAUAACUGGUUUGGCAGCAGCACUGCUGAGAAGGCUUGAGAGUUGUGGUGGAUUACAACCCCAGCGUGAGUCAGCAAUGCGAUGCUGUUGCAAAAAAAGCAAAUGCAAUUUCAGGUAGCAUUAACAGAGGAAAGUCACAGGAGGUGAUAGUACCACUCUACUCAGCUCAGGUUAGGCCUCAGCUGGAAUACUGUGUCCAAUUUUGGUCAUCAAUGUAUAGAAAAGAUGUAGAGAAACUAGAAAGGAUCCAGAGACAAGUGACAAAGAUUAUCAAAGGGAUGCCCAGUAAUGGAUAACUGGGGGGAUCUCUCCCCUUCUUCCUAUGGCUCAGUAAACCUCUGAAAUGUGUUCUUUGAAAACUAAGCCCAGACAAAGUUUCUUCACCCUGCUGCUGGGGUGUUACAUCAUUUUGUCUUUUCUCCUGCUUGACAGCUUUGUUUACCUUAUAUGUAAAUUUGCCUUCAUUGUUGCUGCCUGAUGUCCAGGCUGGUCAGAAAAGCAAAUACGCAUUCCUUCAUCUGUGGCGGACUGGGCUUAUUCAUUGCUUGCCAAACACAUUUUAAGAACAUAAUCCUAGCACUUAGUUGUAAUUCUUUGUACACACCCAAUUUGUACAAAACAAAGAUUUCCAGGACCAGAGUGUUAUCAGUUUGCAUAUAAUAUCUCACAUGACACCAUUUUAGUUACAGAUUAUGAAACCAGUGUGUUAGCUGUUGUGAGUAUGCCAGGCUUGACAAGAGUUGCUGACAGAGUAGUGAACCACCUAGGGCCUCUUUGUCACAUUGUGACAACACUUCUUGGUGUUUGGUGCCCAGCCCCAUGAUUGGUGAAUGCAAAGCAAAUGUUUGUGCUCAAAUUCAAGUUUUUCCUUGGGCAAUUUUUUUUUGGGUGCCCCUGGGUAUGAAUGAGGGAAAUAUCGCAGUACGUGUCUUGCUGGUUUUGUAGGUUUUGCAUGCAUUCAAAGAGAAUUGUAUAACAAAGACUGGCCAGAGGAGGGCAACAAAACCUCAAACAACUGGCAUUCUACAAGGGAAAGUUCCUUCAAAACUCAAAAGGUUUCAUAAAAGAUAAAUAAUUCCUCAACAAAAGGAACUUCUAGUAUUUACAAGUCUAAAUCAAUAGCAAAUGCCCCAAACUCCUUGUUGGAGAUGAAUGAAUGUGAUAGACUUAUUCAUUUUUAAUUAAAAUGCCAAUUUUAGGAGACAGAAGCAAAAAGGAGAUGGGAGAUAGGAAAGAAUUUUCUAUGCUUUAACAAUCUGAUUGAUUAACAUCUGACAGUCCAUGAGGAUGCUAUUUUCUGAAAAAUUAUAAAUAUCUUGAGAUCAAAAGGAAUAAUUUCUCCGAGUACUACUAAUAGAAGUCUCUUACUCCACUGUGUACUGAUAGUGUCAAAGAGAUUAAUUUUUGGAAGAGUCUAAGUAUUGCUCAUAUGUAGUUUUCCACAUCACUCUCAAAAAGUCUCAACUUUAUAGUCCAAAAGGAAGUUCAUUUGAAACUACUUUUUAGGAACUAGAUCAAGGCUGAUUGUAGGGGGCAUUGUGUAGCUGUAUGAUUUUAUCACCAGAAGGAGGAAGGACCAAGUCUAGUUUAGUUCCAACUCACAGGGAUUGCUAAAUUUUCUCUACAUGCUAUGCAUGGGGUCAGGAAGCUUUUAGUGCACACCCUGCCUCCUGACACAUUUGCGCAGGGGCAGAUCAUAAUCCAUCCCAGAGAAUGGCAGCCUCUAGCAGGGUGAAAUUCCUCAGAGCAGACAGCCCCCACAAAUCCCUACAUACAAUUUAGAUCCCUUUUUAUAGGUUUAAAUGGUGCCUAUGGACUUGCACAAACCUCCUGUACUGGUGUGAAUUUAAAAAAAUAUAGCAAGAUAACACCUUUGUUAUGUUUUAAUGGAUAGGACUUCUCUCUGUUUUUUCACUUUUGCAUACAAGAAAUUGAAUAGCUCUUUUCCUUCUAAAUUUAUAAAGAUAUGAUUUGAUCACUUUUUAUCCAAGCUAAGGCAUUAGAUGUAUUUACAGUGAUUUAGAAGCAACCUCGAAAAAUAUGUAACACAAAUAAGUUUAAAAAAAAUCUGAAAUGUGGUGAAAAGUGAAUCUAAAAAUCAAUAUCUUGGCUGCCCCAUAUCUUAUCCUUAUGGGUCUUCUGAGUCUUUUCUCCUGAAACAAGAACAAGUGUUCCUGUGAGCAUCACAGAGGCCAUAUAUCUAUGGAAACUUAUUCUGUAUUCCAUUUUCUUGGGCAAUAAGGCUCUAAUAAUGCUGCUCUAUCAUGAAUGGGUUCAUUUGUGUGCAGGAGGAGUGCUCUUGAUGCUCUUCCCCUCCCAGCAGCACGAGGAUGGCAUUUCUGACAGGCCUCUUUUUGGGAGUGGAGGAGUUCCUUAUAUGCUCUGCCUCCUGGGCAGCUGCAAAUGGAGGUCUCAGAAUCUGGUCAGUACUGAUUUUUUGUGUGUGCUAAAUCAGAAUGAGUCCUGUGUGACAAAAGAUUCUACCCACUCAGAUACCAAGAACUACAUCCUGGCCCUGUGCUCUUCAGUGUCUACAUAAGUCCAUUCCGGUAGGUGCUGAAACCCCGCAGAUUCUGCUGCCAAUAACAUGCUGAUGAUACUAAAUUGUGUACUGAUCUUUCCUUUUCAACUGAUGCAACCAAUACCUUUGUAAAAAUGUCAGUGCCUAGAGGAGACCAGCCCUGAGAUGUUUGCACUUGACCCAGGCAAGACCAAAGUAAUCCUGAUCAGAAGGAAGAAACACACUUGAAGGAUGGGCUGGUCACUGCCUUUCCCCUCCAAAAAAAGUGCUUUCCUCCUCCUCCUCCUCCUCCUCCUCCCCCAUUAUCUGAGUGAUGUGACUCUUCAGACUCCUCUUGAGCACUGCAUUUAACCUAAAAAUCAAUGGUGGUAAAUAACCUUCCUUUAUCUAUAGUUUGCUAGGAAACUUCAUCCCUUCCUCCCAGAUGAGGAUCUGGCCACAGCAAUCCAUUCAUUGCCACCAUACUGGAUGACCAUGACUUACUGUAUAUGGGACUGAAGAUGGAAGAUAUUCAAAGGUUCCAGCAAGUGCAGAAGGCCAUAGCUCAUCUGUCAUGAGAAGAGCAGAAGAAUCCAAGAGGCCCACUAGAGAGCUUGCCAUAUAGAGCUUAUGUUCUUAAAGGCUGCAUCAGCCCCCACCUGGGCCCACCAACACCACCCCAUGCAUCUCAUAGAAGCCACAGAAGAACAAUACAAAGUGCUUUCUCCCACCAUUGGCAAAACAUUCUUCUUCUCCACACUCCCAGCUUAUGCCAGUCCUAGGAUCUCAUGAGUCAAAGCUGGAUUCACUGUAUAGCAGCACAUUACCACUAGACUGCUCUUGUACUUUUCAACAGCCACCAAUUUAUGCCUUACUUUCUUUUUCCAUCCAAGAAACAGAAACACACAAAAAUAUAUUAAGCAUGAAACGAGGAGGGAAUAAAAAAGAUUUACUGAUGUCUAUUGUAAGAAUUAGGCUUGGCAAUGUAUUUCUUUAUUUAAGAUAGCAAGGUACCCUACCAAGCUUGGGGCACCAUGAAUGGAAGUGUUCUCAACCUCUGUGGGAGGGAGUGGUUUAUCUUGCUCAACAGAGACACUUCUAGCUUAUGAAGAACAACAUGGUCUGACUCUGAAGGGAAUUCUAUCCAGUUCUUUACUGAAAAGUAUGACUGUAAUCUAGGGUUGGAGGAUGUGGUUAAAGCAAAUGAAAGAUCAGGAAACUAAGAGGUCUGAACUGAUACUGACU